rnacentral:rRNA from 1 species
CGCCGGGCGGCAGACUACACAUGCAGUCGAGCGGUAACAGAUCCAGCUUGCUGGAUGCUGACGAGCGGCGGACGGGUGAGUAAUGCAUAGGAAUCUGCCCGAUAGUGGGGGAUAACCUGGGGAAACCCAGGCUAAUACCGCAUACGUCCUACGGGAGAAAGGGGGCUUCGGCUCCCGCUAUCGGAUGAGCCUAUGUCGGAUUAGCUAGUUGGUGAGGUAACGGCUCACCAAGGCCACGAUCCGUAGCUGGUCUGAGAGGAUGAUCAGCCACAUCGGGACUGAGACACGGCCCGAACUCCUACGGGAGGCAGCAGUGGGGAAUAUUGGACAAUGGGGGGAACCCUGAUCCAGCCAUGCCGCGUGUGUGAAGAAGGCCCUCGGGUUGUAAAGCACUUUCAGCGAGGAAGAACGCCUAGCGGUUAAUACCCGCUAGGAAAGACAUCACUCGCAGAAGAAGCACCGGCUAACUCCGUGCCAGCAGCCGCGGUAAUACGGAGGGUGCAAGCGUUAAUCGGAAUUACUGGGCGUAAAGCGCGCGUAGGUGGCUUGAUAAGCCGGUUGUGAAAGCCCCGGGCUCAACCUGGGAACGGCAUCCGGAACUGUCAAGCUAGAGUGCAGGAGAGGAAGGUAGAAUUCCCGGUGUAGCGGUGAAAUGCGUAGAGAUCGGGAGGAAUACCAGUGGCGAAGGCGGCCUUCUGGACUGACACUGACACUGAGGUGCGAAAGCGUGGGUAGCAAACAGGAUUAGUGCCC